rnacentral:lncRNA from 1 species
GGGGAACACACCGUCUAGUUUAUAAAGAUCAUUGUGAUGAUUAAAUUAAAUCAGAUCAUGAAUGUAAAGAGAAUUACCUGCCUGACAGAAAGGAAGAAGAACCCAACACAUGAAGCUAAUAUUAAUGUCAUUGAGAUAAGCCUGGCAGUUUUACCCUCCUGAGUCUUUCCCUUCUUUUCCCUUCUUCUCCUUUACAUCAGCCCAGAGCCUCUGCCAGAAAUAUCAUAAGAAGUUCCUUAAAGGUACUAGUUUUUGAAGACCUCCUUAUUGUACUGCUGAGAGAAACUUGAAUUGUAAGUGCAAUUCUUGGAGGCGGUAGGAUCAGGGAAGAGAUAAAAUGCAUGGAUGUUCACAAGACCCUCAAGGUGGGCCACAGUGCAAAAAUGGUUCAGAUUUGGACUACCAGCCAAAGGAAACAGGAAGAGAAAGUGCAGAGGGAAAAUGCCAAAGCACAGGGGUGAGCUGUUGCUGCAGCUACUGUGAAGGUGAAAUAUACCUUUUCAGCAGUUUGUCAAAGAAGAUCUUCAACAUGUGAAUUAUGGAAUAUGCAAAAUGCAUACUCACGGCGACAUUUAUAUCUCCUUCGGCUUUGGACACCUUCACAGAUGGUAUCUGGGGAAAAUCAAAAGGAGCAAAGCUUGUAGCCUUUUUCUUUGUGAACUUCCCUAGUGAAAAGAUUUUGUAUCAAGUGUUCUUGUUAUUCCUCUGGCAACCUCUUACUCUUCUGCUUCCACCACUGUUCUUACAUUUAGAGUUUGUGUGUUUUACUGAUGUUACUAUUUCCUAUACAACUGUUAGAAUCUGCUGAAAGCCUUAUGAGAACAGAGAUUGUGCUUCUACUUCUGACUUUUUUUUCCCUUCCGGUGCUGAGGAUUGAACCCAGCCCUGCACAUGCUAGGCAAGCAGUCUACCACUGAACUACAUCCCCAGCCCUGCUUCUUACUUCUGUACCUCCUCUAGCAGUAAGUCCCAGCAGAUGAGUGCAUACUAAUUGAUCCUGGGCUUCCAAAGGUGGACCCCUGCUGCAGAGUGUAGUGCUGGGUCCCCAAACCAAGCAGAUGCCCAAAGAGGUUCUUAUCAAAAAAAAAAAAAAAAAAACAACUGUUGGUGGCACAGACCUAAGCGAGUUGGUGCAGAAAUGGAAGUGCAGUUUCCUGAGCAUUGUCAUAACAAGACACUGAUUGCUGUGUGAUGUUAGAUGAGUCAUUUCCUUUGUGUUACCUUGGUUUUACUCAUCUGCAAAAUGGGGAGGAUAAUUUUAUAAAAGAACAUGUGCAUAUUCACUUAUUUUUCCUCAUCAGAAAAGUAAUAUAUGUUCAUUAUAGAAAAUAUAGAUUAUUCAGAAGGAUAAGGGAGAAAAUAAAAUAAAAGCCAGCUUUUAUAAACACAGUUUAUAUUUUGGUUUGUUGCUUUUUAAUGUUUUCCUGCACAUGCAAAUGCAUGUGCAUGAGUAAAAUUUGUAGGGCUUAGUGAAAAAUGAAAAUAUAAGUCUCCUUGUUCUAAAAUUAUCAAAAGAGGGCAAC